GAUUCAAGCGAUUCUUCUGCCUCAGCCUCCGGAGUAGCUGGGAUUUCAGACACUUUCUUCUUUCACUUUUACUGACAGAAACUUGUUCAGAGGAGAAAGCCCAGGUGCUCUGGCCUGAGGCUCUGACCAAAACUAUCUUCGACAUCACUUUAAACAGUUAAAGAAGUAGUAACUUUGAAGGUUUGGCCGGGGUGUGUGUGUGUGUGUGUGUGUGUGUGUGUUGCCAAAGAUGGCAACUUCCGGAUAGGUCUUUGCUUGAUAAAAAGAUAUUAGCUGCCUUUUCAGUUGUGGAAGUUGAGGCCCAGGACACAGUUUGAAUGAGGUGGCUGGGGCAAAGGAAGACAACGUCCAUUUUCUGAGGAGCUAUGCUGCAGAGAGGACGUACAAAGCAGCUGCCAACUAUUCCAUGGUUUCCCAGCUGGAGAAGCCCUACCUUCACAGCAUCCUUGAAGCAGACACCCCAAGGGAGCACCUACCUGGGGCACCCCAGGCUGGCACCAACAUACAAAGUGGUCAAAAAUGUGCUGUUACCCUUCAAGGGGCUGCUUAAUAAAUCACAGUUUUACUUCC